rnacentral:lncRNA from 1 species
UGAGUGUUGACACUUGACGGGCGGCGAGUGGUGUUGGGUGACGAGAUGACUCGCCGUCGACCUUCCAAUCUCCAGUCUUAGAGUCUCAGAGUGUGAAUCUGUGAUCCCCUUUUCUUUCUCUCUCUCUAUUUUUUUUGUUUUUCGUUUUUUUUCAUUAAAUUUUUGUUUUUGGUUUUUGUCCUGUGUUUUGUCAAUGAUAUAGCAGAGUAAAUUUCGUUUAAGGGGUUUGAAGAUGAUUGUCGAGUGUUGAUUACUGGGGAGCCUUCUUAAUGAUGCAUUUCAAAGAGAAGUUGGGAACCAAUUCAUGGAGAAAGUUUAAAGGACUCUGGACUAGAGUCCUCACUCCUCGCUCAGGUUCCUUCAGAUUUUUUUUUUUUUCAACGCUGACUCUUGAAGAUUUUUUUGUUUUUCAUUUGUUCUUCCUGCUUUCCUAAAUUAUGGGCUCUACUAGGUUGUUGUUGUUGUUGUUGUUGUUGUUAUUAUUAUUAUUUAUUUAUUUAUUUUGCAGAAUUUUCUCAUAUCUGUUUUAAUAUGCAUUUGGUCUAUUCAAUUUGAGAGUGCAUUCUGUUGCAUCAUUGUUCCUCCUUUUUUUCCCCUUUUCCGAG